rnacentral:rRNA from 1 species
GACAGAGGGUGCAAGCGUUGUUCGGAAUUACUGGGCGUAAAGCGCGUGUAGGCGGCUAAGUAAGUCGGGCGUGAAAUCCCACGGCUCAACCGUGGAAGUGCACUCGAAACUGCAUAGCUAGAGUCCUGGAGAGGAAGGUGGAAUGCUUGGUGUAGAGGUGAAAUUCGUAGAUAUCAAGCGGAACACCGGUGGCGAAGGCGGCCUUCUGGACAGUGACUGACGCUGAGAUGCGAAAGCGUGGGGAGCAAACAGG